GAUUCGACUCAAAAAAACAGUUCGUUCACGAAUCCGCACACUGCCGUUACAACAUCCAAGCAGCCAACAAACGCGGAACUUGAUGACAUCCAGGCGGCCCUCAGAGGCUGCGACGUGCAGCGCUGACCGUCCAUCAUAAUCCACAGCAUUCACAUCUGCUCCUGACAGAAGAAAUGGACACCCCUCCAUGAAUUUCCAUUGCAGUCCAGUCCAGGAGACCAGCACAUGAGUCCCAGAACUCCAGGAAC